CGAGAGGGCCGGGUGAUCGCGGUGCCGGGGACUGCGUCCGCCCAUGUGGCGGCGUCCGCCCGGCGUCGAGGAAAGUCCGGACUCCACAGAGCACGGUGGUUGUUAACGGCAACCCGGGGUGACCCGCGGGCAAGUGCCACAGAAAACAGACCGCCCUGGCCGACCGGUCCGUCCGGGAACCAGGGUAAGGGUGAAACGGUGCGGUAAGAGCGCACCAGUGCGCCGGGUAACCGGUGUAGCUAGGUAAACCCCACCGGGAGCAAGGUCAAGUGGCCGCGACCGUACCUCUUCGUGAGGACCACGGUGUGGCCGUGCCCCGUCGGCUGCUCGCCGGUGAAGGGGCAGGUAGACCGCUUGAGGCAGUCGGUGACGGCUGACCCAGAUGGAUGAUCGCCGCCGCGCACGGUGUGCCCUGUACACCGGGGUGCGGCACAGAAUCCGGCUCACAGGCCCUCUCGGCAC
rfam:Corynebacterium glyciniphilum AJ 3170, complete genome.